CAGAGCUUACAAAAAGCUUGAUUGAAAAGAGAAGAGAAUGGAACACGGUAUGAUGACAACAAAGAGAAAAGGAGCCAAGAUUAGUCUGGACAGUAUGCAGACAUUGACUCUGCUUUGAGGACAGAGCUGGAAUUAAUUUCACGUGCACCACAUAAGGUAAAGAAAACAGCUUCAGACCAUGAUUAUCUACGAUAUGGGGUCUGGGUUUGCAGAUUAAUUUUAACAUAAGAAAAUGAAGUGACAGCUGAGGAUCUUUCAUGACACACUGCUGAGCUGCUGAAUGAAGUAUGCAUGGUCAGUAUAAAGGAUGGGGUGGACCAGAAAAGCUCCUUUGUCAGUUUCUUUGUUAUAGAAUUAAGAAAAAUGUAUGUGUGUGUAUAUAUGAGUGUGUAUACACAUGUGUUUUAUGUAAAAUAUAUAUUUUAAAAGAUGGAAAAUUUAUUAAUUAACAUCAAGCAAGAGCCAUAACAAUAUUUAGAUAAAAAUCUUUCCUGUG